GAUGAACGCUGACAGAAUGCUUAACACAUGCAAGUCUACUUGAAUUUGGGUUUUUUAACUUAGAUUUGGGUGGCGGACGGGUGAGUAACGCGUAAAGAACUUGCCUCACAGCUAGGGACAACAUUUGGAAACGAAUGCUAAUACCUGAUAUUAUGAUUAUAAGGCAUCUUAGAAUUAUGAAAGCUAUAUGCGCUGUGAGAGAGCUUUGCGUCCCAUUAGCUAGUUGGAGAGGUAACGGCUCACCAAGGCGAUGAUGGGUAGCCGGCCUGAGAGGGUGAACGGCCACAAGGGGACUGAGACGCGGCCCUUACUCCUACGGGAGGCAGCAGUGGGGAAUAUUGGACAAUGGACCAAGAGUCUGAUCCAGCAAUUCUGUGUGCACGAUGACGUUUUUCGGAAUGUAAAGUGCUUUCAGUUGGGAAGAAAAAAAUGACGGUACCAACAGAAGAAGUGACGGCUAAAUACGUG
rnacentral:rRNA from 1 species